UUUUCUGUAUAUAAAAAUUUACUGGAACUAACACUAGACACAAAAAUUUAUGCAUAAAACUACAGAUGAUCCAAAUUUGAACCUGGAUACUUUUACAACUGAGAAUUUAUUUAAUUGGGUACACAUAAUGCGGCGGCAUCCAUUGCUCUUCGUUUAGGUGACAUAACUUUAUAAAAAUAUAGUUUAAAAAAUAAAAAUUAAAUAAUUAAUAAUAUAAACCCUUUAACAAAAAAAAAUACCGGAUGACUAAGAAAUUGGAAAAGUUAACAACAACGAAAACU
rnacentral:lncRNA from 1 species